rnacentral:rRNA from 1 species
AAGGGUAGCAAUACCUGAGUAAAGUGGCGCACGGGUGAGUAACACGUGACUAACCUACCCUGGAGUGGGGGAUAACUGAGGGAAACCUUAGCUAAUACCGCAUAAUACCUACGGGUCAAAGGAGCAAUUCGCUUCAGGAGGGGGUCGCGGCCGAUUAGUUAGUUGGCGGGGUAAUGGCCCACCAAGACAGUGAUCGGUAUCCGGCCUGAGAGGGCGCACGGACACACAGGAACUGAAACACGGUCCAGACUCCUACGGGAGGCAGCAGUGGGGAAUUUUGCGCAAUGGGGGAAACCCUGACGCAGCAACGCCGCGUGGAGGAUGAAGUCCUUCGGGACGUAAACUCCUUUCGAUCGGGACGAUUAUGACGGUACCGGAAGAAGAAGCCCCGGCUAACUUCGUGCCAGCAGCCGCGGUAAUACGAGGGGGGCGAGCGUUGUUCGGAAUUAUUGGGCGUAAAGGGUGCGUAGGCGGUUUUGUAAGUCUUAUGUGAAAUCUAUGGGCUCAACUCAUAGACUGCAUGAGAAACUGCAGGGCUUGAGUAUGGGAGA